ACGACUAAGCUCAUCGUUCAUAGUAGCCCUCAUGAUGCAAUGCACCAUUGUACUGUCAUUGAGCCACUUUUGGGAAGUGUCUCUCAUCGCAUCAUGUGUAUUGGCCACAGACUCCUCAGGUGCAGGAUCCGUAAUCACAUAUAGGAUCCUCUCAUGCUUCAAAAUAAUCUUCAACUUGCGAUACCAUCUAUUAAAGUUGGGUUUAGUAAGCUUAUCACUGUC
rnacentral:lncRNA from 1 species